rnacentral:rRNA from 1 species
GAUGAACGCUAGCGGCAGGCCUAAUACAUGCAAGUCGAACGGUGUAGCAAUACACAGUGGCGCACGGGUGCGUAACACGUAUGCAACCUACCUUACAUUGGGGGAUAGCCUUUCGAAAGGGAGAUUAAUACCGCAUAAGACAGUAACUAGGCAUCUAGUAGCUGUUAAAGAUUUAUCGAUGUAAGCUGGGCAUGCGUCCAAUUAGUUAGUUGGCGAGGUAAUGGCUCACCAAGACGAUGAUUGGUAGGGGAACUGAGAGGUCAAUCCCCCACCACUGGGACUGAGAUACUGCCCAGACACCUACGGGUGGCUGCAGUCGAGAAUCUUCCGCAAUGGGCGAAAGCCUGACGGAGCGACGCCGCGUGCGGGAUGAAGGCCCUUGGGUUGCAAACCGCUGUCAGGGGGGAUGAAAGCCGCAAGGCUUGACAGAGCCCCAGAGGAAGCACGGGCUAAGUUCGUGCCAGCAGCCGCCGUAAUAC